rnacentral:rRNA from 1 species
GACGAACGCUGGCGGCGUGCUUAACACAUGCAAGUCGAGCGGUAAGGCCCUUUCGGGGGUACGACGAGCGGCGAACGGGUAGAGUAACAACGUGGGUGGACCUCGCCCUCCAGCUCUGGGAGUAAGACCCGGGAAACCGUAGGGUCGUAAUACCGGAGUAUGACUCCAUGACGCAUGUUGUGGGGUGGGAAAGACCUUGUGCGG